CGGGUGAGUAACACGUGGAUAACCUCGCCCUGAGGUGGGGAUAACCGGGGAAACUCGGGCUAAUACCGCAUGAUACCGAGAGGUCAAAGGGGGCUCGCAAGGGCUCUCGCCAUAGGAGGGGUCCGCGUCCGAUUAGCUAGUUGGUAGGGUAACGGCCUACCAAGGCGACGAUCGGUAGCCGGCCUGAGAGGGUGAUCGGCCACACUGGAACUGAGACACGGUCCAG
rnacentral:rRNA from 1 species